AUUGAACGCUGGCGGCAGGCCUAACACAUGCAAGUCGAGCGGAUGACGGGAGCUUGCUCCUUGAUUCAGCGGCGGACGGGUGAGUAAUGCCUAGGAAUCUGCCUGGUAGUGGGGGACAACGUUUCGAAAGGAACGCUAAUACCGCAUACGUCCUACGGGAGAAAGCAGGGGACCUUCGGGCCUUGCGCUAUCAGAUGAGCCUAGGUCGGAUUAGCUAGUAGGUGAGGUAAUGGCUCACCUAGGCGACGAUCCGUAACUGGUCUGAGAGGAUGAGCAGUCACACUGGAACGGAGACACGGUCCAGACUCCUACGGGAGGCAGCAGUGGGGAAUAUUGGACAAUGGGCGAAAGCCUGAUCCAGCCAUGCCGCGUGUGUGAAGAAGGUCUUCGGAUUGUAAAGCACUUUAAGUUGGGAGGAAGGGCAGUAAGUUAAUACCUUGCUGUUUUGACGUUACCGACAGAAUAAGCACCGGCUAACUCUGUGCCAGCAGCCGCCGUAACAC
rnacentral:rRNA from 1 species